rnacentral:lncRNA from 1 species
GGGGGGGGCUAUGGGCCUUGCCGGGGAGGGCUGCUCCUCCUGGGGGGGUCUCUGUGCUUAGGGGAUGUUCUCCCUGGGGCUGUUGUGCAUGGCGGGGGCUCUGUCCCUUAAGGAUGUUGCUUCCCCUGUGGCUGCUCUUAGCUGAACCCGCUCCCCAAAAGCCGGGGGCGGUCCCUCAAAGCACCCCCAGAUUGGGUGCCCACCCUUUGGAGGGCGUUGGGGUGCCCCCAGGCCUGGCACGGUGCUCCCCCCCCUGCAGAAGACCGUCCAGGAGGGCCUGGCUGCCCCCAUAAAGCCGGCACCCCCAGAGCGCAGGGAGCUGGCUGCCGGGGGGCAGAGCUGUGGGGCUCGGUGUGGGGCGCGGGGGGGGGAUGGACAAGGCCACCCCCAUCCCGUGCACUUCCUCCUGGCCGAGGUACAAAAGGAGAAGGAGCGGGGCGCGGCGUGGGCGCGGGGAGCAGCGAGCACCCGGCGGCACCCCACGGCACCCCAGGGCACCCCACGGCUGCAGAGCACCCCCCCGGGCUGGGGGACGGAGCCAUGGCAGGGGACGGGGAGCUCAACCGCGUCAUCAGGGACCUGCAGAAGACCAUCGGCGAGCUGAACCGCGGCUACCGGGAGCAGAACCUGCCGGUGACGGACGGCAGCCGGGAGCUGCACAGCCUCUGCGCCCAGCUGGAGUUUCUCCUGCAGGUACCCCCGCGCCCCGGCGCUGCGGUUUUCCCUGGGGUGA